rnacentral:misc_RNA from 1 species
CCCUUUCCUUCCCUCUAAUUUCUUGGAAUUCUCACGCUCACAUCACUGAAUUUUCCUUUCCCACAAACAGCCCCUUAGGAUAUUUCUCUAUAUCUUCACUAUCACAACAUUUCCCCAAGCCUCUUUGUCUUUAGAGGAAAAAAUCCACAAAUUGCAUUUCCCUCCCGACGAACACCCCCCCCAAAGUUCGGUUCGCAAUUAUCCAAUGCAACUGUCCGUUCCCACCGAAACCAAUUCAAAUGCCCUCCAAAACCUCGAAAACCCUGGAUCCCCAAAACCCACUUUGACAG